rfam:Triticum aestivum genome assembly, contig: Triticum_aestivum_CS42_TGACv1_scaffold_643066_T_1AL-0.112651_6BS-0.096410
CAAGUACUCCCUCCGUUCCAAAUUACUCGUCGCUGAAAUGGAUGUAUCUAGAACUAAAAUACAUCUAGAUACAUCCAUACGUGCGACAAGUAAUUCGGAACGGAGGGGAUACUUU